CGACAACCCUGUUGUUACCAUAACAACGUAGCUUUGCAUUUCGUAAAAAACGUAUGUCAAUGUAAUGUAAUCGUUGUAAUUUUCCGUUUAAUUCGAUUACAAUCAUACGUACUAUGCUCUCUUUGUCUUUUACUGUCUACUAAUUGUAUAUAUGAUUUGAUGGAUAGCAGAGAAAUUUAAGUAUAUUACUAUGUCUGGAGUAAAGCAAGUACGAAAUAAAAAGCUUCUCCCGGAUUUGCGUAAAGAAGGCGAACUCACUAAAGAAAUAAUAUUAUCUACGAAGGAGAAACACGGAGUUCCUGUGACGUCUAGACUUUUUUCUCAUCAUACCUUAGCGAGCGUUAGAAAACUAAGCUUUUAUUUUCCUUAUAAUUUGCCAGACGACAGCCUGGACUUCAUUUUAACGUCCAAAUACAAUCACUCGACGGAGCAAUUUGCGGAUAAAGUCGACGUGUUCCUGCAGCCAGAGACGAUCGGUUGCGAGACCUGGCGACGACUUCGAAACACUUGUGAUAAAUUACCAAGCAGUGGAGUCCCAAUGGGCCAUCCUUUGAGACGAGGCGGUAUUCACGAGCGUCGGUCGCCCUUCAGCGUAAAGUUGAUGAAUUCUGGAGUUCACUCAUCGCAAACCAACCCUGGGUUCAGCAGGCAGCCAGCUGGUGGAGCCAUAUUCUUCUACUAAUUGAAUUAUUAUACGUUCUAAAUAUUCUGUGUUGUUUCAAAACUGUUUUUAAAUUUAGAAACGAUUUUUUUGUAAACGCGUUUAUUAGAAUGUAUAAAGAGAAGUUAAUUUCCGAACGUUACUUUUGGUUUUUCUUUUGGUAGAUUGUAAAUUAUGUAAAAUGUGAAAUAAAUAAUUAUUUCUUUUAAUGAAAAUGCGAGUAUACUGUAUUUUAUAAGUAUAGUUCAGGACAGCCAGUCGACGCUCGAUCUUUAGGGAUCUUUAAGGGCGUUACUGGAUCUUUAAGGGCGUUACUGUGUCCUUAGCCUCAAUUUUUUACUUCACACAUCAGUGUGCUUAGUGCGAGUUUUUUAACGUUCUCGAUAGCGUAAAAGUUAGCUCAUAUUUGUAUGGAACGGGAUCGUUUGCCUACGUUUGCCGUUAGGGGCGCUGUUCCAACUGCAUACAAAUUUGGGUUAACUUUUACGCUAUCGAGAACGUUAAAAAACUCGCACUAAGUAUACAGAAUGUUCUAGAAACUAACCACAAGCCAAGUAUUCCAAGAACGAUAUCAAGUAGGUAUUAAUAAGUACCAAGUACUUACUUGAUGACAUGAAAAAUUACGGACUCUUUUAUUAUUCACUUAAUUAAACAAUUUAAAACCAAUUAAUUAAAAUUUGUAUUUAUACAUUAGGUGCUGUUUUCAGGACUUAUUGUAUUCUAAUAUCUAAUUAUGUUUAUGUACAUAAACAAGGAAAUGGAAUGAAUGGAAGCAAUUCAAGUCAAGGCUUUUGAUUCAGUUGUCGGCCUAAUGUCUGUUGGUUGUUGUUUAAAUGCAUUUUUCGCGCAUUCCUGUUAAUGUUAAAAUUCAGAACAUCAAAAGAUCUUCGAUGUCAAGGUUACGAUUAAGCGAUGAGCCGAUCAGAAUAAUUAUAACGAUGGUGACUUAUCCGUUAGGUGACGACGACUUCAAAACUUUAAGGGAGUAGUUUGCCCAGCCCCUAUAAAUAUGAAGUAAGAGAUAAUUUAUAGACGAUCAUUUGCGUUGUUAGGGUAAUGAUAGAGGGUUAUAUGCCCCGACAUUAAUGUUUUUUUAGGAAAAACUCUUUUUUGCCUUACUGUUUUCUUCUUCUUUUGUUAAAUUCUCUUUGUUAAUUUAUGACAGACAAAUUCAAUAUUAGGUUGACUUUCGGAAUAGAGAAAACUAAAUGUCGAAUAGAAACAUUAUUAACAUAUUAAAGUAUCAUAGCAUUUGUUCAAAUUGAAUUGUGCAUUUUGUACAAUGUAACUUCGUCUCUCAAGUAAUUAGCGCGGCGUAAAUUUAAAAUCAUAACUGUUAUAACUAAUAUUUUGGAAUGGAUUUCUUAGAUUCCUUGGAUUUAGAUACAGAUAAUAAAUCGCAACGUGUUCGAUCGUGGUACCUUUAUGAGCAGUUCAAAGAAAUUGAAAAGAAUCAACUUGAUGCCGCCAGGCGACUCAAGGACAAAUCGUAUCAAGAUAAAAUCCUGCGCCACGGGCUCGCAGAAAGGAAAGCCAGAAGAAGGCUUCAUGACCAGUUCGGAGCUUGUGAAAGUGAUUCAAGGUUGCACUAUAGUUCUAAGUAUGGAGAUGAGACCAUACUCAGUAUUAGCGCUGAAGAUAUAUUCGAAAGCCUUGCUGACUUCCAUGACGAAACCCCUGAUGGUUUCGAUGAUUUUCAUGAUGACUUAAGUCGGGUAGAUUCCGUAGUCGGUAAUUCUUACAAAGAAGAUUUUAAAAGCUUAGAAGACUUUAAAGAUUGCAAUAGCUGCACGGAAACUAUUAGUGUUCGCGACUUCAAGAAUGUUGAAUCUGCUGAUAAUUUACGUAACGAAGCGAAUGAAAUGGAACCAUUUUUAGCCAAUAAUUUCGAUAUAAAAUCGCAAAUUGAAUAUUCGCAGAAGGAUUUUAAAGAAAUUGAAAAUUUGAUGACCCCUAUUAAUUCUGAAGAAGUUUCAGAAGUCAGCAGUUUAGUUUCUGUAAAAGUUGAAGAUGGAUGUGAUGAGAAGCCCAAACAUUCGAGCUAUGAAAUUGUGGAUUUUGCUUUAUGGUCGAAAUUAGUCUCUUUUGCUUAUCAAAUUAUUAAGCUCAAUCAUGGGAAUUGUUUUUACGACUAUAGCUCUCAGUUUUUAACUGCAGUACUUAUUUGCGAUGCUCUGAAAAAGGGAAUCAGCAAAAUGUCCCUACGUCUCACCAAUAAAGUUUGCUGAUGAAAACAACGUAAACGAAACUAGCCAGAAACACAAAAAUCGUGAAAAAUUGGAAAACUUGAAAAAAUCAAUGACAUUUUUGAAGUUCUCGCCAUACAGCUCUGAUAAACAUUGCCAGCAAUACAAAAGGGAUUAUGGUUCCGAGAAAUAUGCCCGUGGAUGUCACGGGGGUCAUCUUGGAAAUUAUUAUAAAAACGUCAAGAGUGAGCCCUGGCGAACUUUCCAUAAAUUUUCAGUUUCCAAAAAUCUUUUAAAUAAGGCGUCAAGGAGCAGUUUUAUUCGAUCAGAUUAUUCCAGAAAAUCUAGUUCUUGUAAUUGUGAAAUUUGUGAUUGUUGCCAUAAGAAAAUUUCAAAUCCUAUGUUAAAGAUUGCUCGACGCAUCGAUGACUUUAUAAAACUGGAUAGUCCGAGGCAUAUUUAAUUUUUUAAUUAAAAUUUAUUAUGAAGUGAU